ensembl:lncRNA
ACCCUGCCGCCAACACAGAGCAUGCUGGGAGCCAGACCCGCCAAGCUCCUCCCACCCCAGGCGUUACUGUGAGAUGCUGGGCUUCACACAGACCCUCUGAGUGUCUGUCCAGAGGAUGAAACGAGGGGCAGCCACACGCUUCGGGCAGACACACAAAACCUGGUGCACACAUCUGCACUGUGCACACCAGUGACUUGAGUUUUCUCUACGGCUGAACUUAAGGCUCCCCCUCAGGCACUUUGGAGUGAAUUCCACCCAGUUCCUGCUGAGGAGACGGGGCACUAGAUGCUUUCAUGAGACCCCCACCUCCUCGGCUCCCCCACCCCGUGGGACUAGAGGACAUCUCAGGAAGCGGGAAAUGGAGCACCACGGCCAGGGUUAAACUUAACCGCAAGGAAAAGGAGAAUGAGAAAAAAAUUCCAAGUUUCCUGAGAAGAUGAAGUUUUUGCUUAAUUGGUGGAAACUGGGGGUCAGCUCUGCUCAAGAUCCCAUGCUGUCUGGAGGCGACGUGGUCAGGAACAACAGAGAUGUGUUAAGGCUCCAUCUCCCCAUCCUCCCACCUGUGGCCAGGUCUUCUGGUAGGGACGAAGGUUGCUCCAGCAUCUAACUCUGGCCUGGAGUCUCCUCCAAGUUUCCCAGGAAACACAUUCUCCAGACAGGACCUGCUGGAAGCGAGCUCCACCCGUGGCAAAGGUCAUGAGGAAGGAGGCUUGGCAUACGCAAAGGCGGGAUUGAGCCUCAGGAGUCCCCCUGGAAAUUCUCGAGCAUCUACCCCCCAAAACCAGAGUCUGCCUACUUUCUGCUUUGUGCUUUCACCUACACCUCUGACUUUACGGGGGGCUGUCCCCCACUACCUCUCUCUGAAAAAAGAGUUAGCUUACAGCUCCAGUUAAUAAUUCCUGGGUGUGACAGUGUUUCAACCUACAAACUCCUUUGGAAGUCCUCUAGCCUGCCUGAAUAGGUUUUUCCGGCCACAUGUGAUUGUUCAGAGCCUCCCAACUGUGAGAGGCAGGAGAUGUUCUAAACUGUCUAAACACAGAUUCCUUUGAGUAGUUAAAAGAUUGAUUAGAAAUUGUUUUGGUGAAGGGUUUUUCACUUAUUGGGCCAAUGUUUGCUGCUAAGUCUCCAUAUCCCUUACCUACUGUGUCCUUGGCAGUGUACUGAUUGAUAUAAUGGGUGUAUAGAAAUGUAAGUAGUAGCUUUAAUGUUUGUAAUCUUGGACCCUUGAGUUAAUUCUUUUCUUGAUUGAGCCCACCUCACCUUUGCCCUAUAGGAAUGCAACUUUAUCCAAUGCUUUUUGGAGGCUGGCGCCUGACUUUGGAAUAAUCACCUUUAGAGAAAAAUAAGUUUCUUAAAAUGUUAACAGGCCUCCUGGCCAGAAGAUGAUGUAAAUCACCUAAACUUUUGCAUAUGAUAAGUUUGAAAGCCUGGCCUGGCUUUGAUUAGGAUCAGGAACUGCUGUCCUUGCAUGACUCCACCCCCUCCCCCAUUAUCCUCUAUGCACAACUUAAGGUAUAAAACUACUUUGGAAAAUAAAGUACGUCCCUUUCUUG